GAUCACAGGUGGUGCAUGGCUGUCGUCAGCUCGUGUCGUGAGAUGUUGGGUUAAGUCCCGCAACGAGCGCAACCCCCGUCGCAUGUUGCCAGCAUUUAGUUGGGGACUCAUGCGAGACUGCCGGUGACAAACCGGAGGAAGGUGGGGAUGACGUCAAGUCAUCAUGCCCCUUAUGUCCAGGGCUACACACGUGCUACAUUGGCGCGUACAGAGGGCUGCGAUGCCGCGAGGCGGAGCGAAUCCCUUAAAGCGCGUCUCGGUUCGGAUUGCAGGCUGAAACCCGCCUGCAUGAAGGCGGAGUUGCUAGUAAUCGCGGAUCAGCAUUGCCGCGGUGAAUACGUUCCCGGGUCUUGUACACACCGCCU
rnacentral:rRNA from 1 species